rnacentral:rRNA from 1 species
CAAAGGGAGGCCUCUAUUUAUAAGCUCUCGCUUUAAGGAUGAGUCCGCGUACCAUUAGCUAGUUGGUAAGGUAAAAGCCUACCAAGGCGACGAUGGUUAGCUGGUCUGAGAGGAUGAUCAGCCACACUGGAACUGAGAUACGGUCCAGACUCCUACGGGAGGCAGCAGUGAGGAAUCUUGCGCAAUGGGGGAAACCCUGACGCAGCAACGCCGCGUGAGUGAGGAAGGUCUUCGGAUCGUAAAGCUCUGUCGGGUGGAAAGAAAGGCAUGGAAGCUAAUAUCUUUCAUGCUUGACGGUACCACCAGAGGAAGCACCGGCUAACUCCGUGCCAGCAGCCGCGGUAAUACGGGGGGUGCAAGCGUUGUUCGGAAUUAUUGGGCGUAAAGAGCGUGUAGGCGGCUUGAUAAGUCAGAUGUGAAAGCCCUGGGCUUAACCCAGGAAGUGCAUUUGAAACUGUCUCGCUUGAGUAAGGGAGGGGGAAGUGGAAUUCCUGGUGUAGAGGUGAAAUUCGUAGAUAUCAGGAGGAACACCGGUGGCGAAGGCGACUUCCUGGCCCUAUACUGACGCUGAGACGCGAGAGCGUGGGUAGCAAACAGGAUUAGAUACCCUGGUAGUCCACGCCGUAAACGAUGUUCACUAGGUGUUGGGGGUAUUGACCCCCUCAGUGCCGGAGCUAAC